CUCUCCUCCUACUCAGGGUGUGAUUGACAGGUGCUUCUGCGCAGCUGUUGCUCAUCUGUGAGCAAUCAACCUGGGCUUUAAGAGGAGUGGAGAACCAGAGGGAGGCGUUGGCUCGUUGUCUCACAUAGCGUGGUAAACAGCUAGACCUCUGCUACUCUGCAGUAAUUUUCACUGUUCUCCUGACCUUUUGUGUUUUCUCCUCUGCCUCUUAGGAAGACGUGUUUACCGAAGAUUCUAUGGAUUUUUUUGUGCCUCCGGUUAAUUUUUGCCAUGUCCUGAGGAUCAAGGAAAUUCAAGCCUCGACGUCUCGGCUGUUAGCCUCCAAUCUGCCUCCUUCCCGGAUCCAGGUUUCUAGAGUUUUGGUUCACCUGCAUCUGACAACCUUCCACCUGCCUGUCCACCCUCCCACGGUGAAUACCCCCUUUUAUAGAAAGGAUAGAAAAAAGAGAAACACUGAAUCUGAAGAAUCUGGAAACAUUUUCCCUUCAGCUGCACCCACCUGCCAACCUCAACCAUUGUGGAACAGAAUUAUUCCUCCCAGGCUUAGUGAGAUCCCAAUCCUGUUGCUGAUCCAGUCCUGGUUCCAGAUCACAUUUACUCCUGUAAAACCUAACAAAUUGUUAAAACACUGCCUUGGUUCACUCGUGGUUGUUAUUCAGUCUGGUGAAAACCCAUUAUGACAGAUGGAAACAACUUCAGCUGGAUAUGAACUGUAAAACUGUAAAUGUACUUUCAUUCUCACUGUGUUGGAUCAGCAGAUUAAUUCCAAACAAGUCAGGGUUUGAUGAUUCCUAAGAUGGACAAGAUUCACACAAUCACACAUGUCCAUAAAUAGGUGCGUAUGGUUGAGCAUAAUUCUGAAACGACGGCAACUUUGGCACAGAUGAAGGACCUCGCAAAUGGAAGAAGUCGGAGGGAGCGCGUUGUUUUCAAAGAUCGUACUAAUCCGCUGGCACUUGAUGAUGCAUGGCUUAUCAGCCGGUUAGAGCUUUUCAGAGGGAACUGACUGACAGGUCGGGUAUUUAACAAUGAUCCCUGAGCCGUGCCAUGCCACCCAUAUGGGACUGCCUUAUCCGUAUGUUGCUUAGAUAGAAAGUUCCGCAUACUAUUUGCAGCGAGUGGCCGAUUUCUGUCUGUAAUCAGAGCCAUGGACUGCACUCUUACUGCUAUAAGGGCCCCAUCUGUACGUGAAUGAGCUUUUGUGAAUAGAAAUUUAAUUCAAGAUAUGUGCAAUCUUUUUGUGCUACACACAUGUCUCACAAAUGCAAUGGCACGUUGGCCUCAACUCAUGAUUCAUUUAUACUAUAAUUAUAAUUAUUCUAAUUAUAUUAGUUGUGUUGGAAACAAACCUCAAUUUUCUAUUUUUUAAGUGACGUCCUGAAUGGUUGUAAAGAUUUAAAGUACUUCUGUAGUGUGUGUGGUGACAGUCUUCCUAAUAGAAAAGUGGGAGGCAUAUUCACCACAUUAUUGUGAUCAACACUGAGCUAGGAUUGAGCUCCAUGCAGCAGCUAAACAGCGCUGUUUGGGUUUGAUGCACACGUUGUAGAACUAAACAAGUUCGAGCCGACAAACGUUUUAUUUUCAGUCAGGCUUGAUACGCUAAUGUCAUUCAAAACAUUGUUGGUUUACUGAAAUUCACCACAAAACUCUCUCAUCAUGUGUAGACACAGUCUGUCUUGGUGUUUUUCCACCGAAAGGAACCAGUUCGGUUCUUUGAGCAUCACAGCACCGUUUCCAUGGUUAUUUGGACAUGUGCUGGGUGACUUCCUGCUAUUUAU